AACAAAUGACCAAAACCCUAAUCCUUCUGUCAAAAUAUCCCGUGUCCAUCAUUCUGUAUUCACAAAAUUUUCCCGCUGCGAAAAUUCAGUGAAAUCUUGAGAAAAACUUCAAAUUUCUUCUUUCAAUUCCAUCGAAACUGUAUCUAUUACAUGUCAACUCCAAACCCUAAAAUAAUCAUCAGAGAGAAGGCUCCCUCUCCACCAACCGCCGUCGUGAAUAGUCUCACUAAGGCGACUCACCACUAACAAAAGCUAGCAGUCAUUCAUAUCCCUCGACACCCAUCGUAUAAAGAAAAAAAGUUUAGGAAAGAGAAUAUGUGGUUGAUAGCAGUGGAGCGAAGUCGUAUAUAGUAAAAUAUCCGUUGAUCCAUCAAGUAAAGUUAUUGGUUCAACGUUGAAUCCACAUCUUGUUCAGAACAGGGCCCCUCCUACUGUAUAUCUGCAUUUAAGGAGCUUUGGUCAUCAAAAGCUAAAGAAAUGGCUUCAACAUGCAAUUUUGGAGCAAGUGCAAAAGCUGCUGAUGGGGCUUAACGCCCUUGAAGCAUGCAUGAGAAGUGGAAUCUAGGCUUAGCGUCCUUGUAGCAUAGAUCUGAGGCUUAGCGCGAUAUCUAGGGCUUAUCCCCAUUUAUGGCAGUUUAAUGUGUUUUUUAGGAUUUGGGGUUAAGCGCUAAAUUUGGGGCUUAGCGCGAUCUGCUAUUUUUCAGUUUUCCAUAAAUAAAUAUUUUUAGAUAUUUUGAAUAGACACCAACUUUGAGAGAAAAAUACCCCAGGAACAUUGGAGAAAGUCAAAAUCAGGAGAAUCGAGACUGGAUACACAUCAAGUGUCGGGAUUUUCCUACCAUGAGUACCAACAUCUCUUUUUUGUUGAGAUUGGGUGUAAUUAACCGUAAUCGUAUGUUUUAUUAACUUAAAAUGUAUCACAUGGUACAAUAUUUUCUAUUAGGCUAGGGUAUUUUCUCGAUA